rnacentral:rRNA from 1 species
ACUCCUACGGGAGGCAGCAGUGGGGAAUUUUGGACAAUGGGCGCGAGCCUGAUCCAGCCAUGCCGCGUGCGGGAAGAAGGCCUUCGGGUUGUAAACCGCUUUCGGACGGAAAGAAAUCGCCAUCUCUAACAUAGGUGGUGGAUGACGGUACCGUAAGAAGAAGCACCGGCUAACUACGUGCCAGCAGCCGCGGUAAUACGUAGGGUGCGAGCGUUAAUCGGAAUUACUGGGCGUAAAGCGUGCGCAGGCGGCUUUUUAAGCCAGAUGUGAAAUCCCCGGGCUUAACCUGGGAACUGCAUUUGGAACUGGAAGGCUAGAGUGUGUCAGAGGGAGGUGGAAUUCCACGUGUAGCAGUGAAAUGCGUAGAGAUGUGGAGGAACACCGAUGGCGAAGGCAGCCUCCUGGGAUAACACUGACGCUCAUGCACGAAAGCGUGGGGAGCAAACAGGAUUAGAUACCCUGGUAGUC